rnacentral:rRNA from 1 species
GAUUUCGGGUGGGCUGCGCCGGUCCGCCGUUUCGGUGUGCACUGGCGUGGCCCACCUUGCUGCCGGGGACGGGCUCCUGGGCUUCACUGUCCGGGACUCGGAGUCGGCGAGGUUACUUUGAGUAAAUUAGAGUGUUCAAAGCAGGCCUACGCUCUGAAUACAUUAGCAUGGAAUAACACGAUAGGACUCUGGCCUAUCUUGUUGGUCUGUGGGACCGGAGUAAUGAUUAAGAGGGACAGUCGGGGGCAUUCGUAUUUCAUUGUCAGAGGUGAAAUUCUUGGAUUUAUGAAAGACGAACUACUGCGAAAGCAUU